rnacentral:rRNA from 1 species
UACGAAGGGGGCUAGCGUUGCUCGGAAUGACUGGGCGUAAAGGGCGCGUAGGCGGAUGGCACAGUCAGAUGUGAAAUUCCUGGGCUUAACCUGGGGGCUGCAUUUGAUACGUGUGAUCUAGAGUGAGGAAGAGGGUUGUGGAAUUCCCAGUGUAGAGGUGAAAUUCGUAGAUAUUGGGAAGAACACCGGUGGCGAAGGCGGCGACCUGGUCCUUAACUGACGCUGAGGCGCGAAAGCGUGGGGAGCGAACGGG